GCAAACCCCAAAACCCCUGCUACUUCAAGCUUCACGUAAAAAACCCCAAAACCUCCUCCUUCACGUUCGUAAUUCUCCUCUCCUUGGUGGCUGCUGUACCAGCACCGCCGUCGACCCUUGCUGCACCGCCGCCGCCAACCAGCCGGCGCCCUUCCUUACUCUCUUCCUCUUUCAAUUCGCGUGGAGUUCCCUCCUCCUCUACGUGCUUCUCUCACCACCACCGACAGCAAUCCCAGCAACCACCAAGCUCUCGACUGCCGGCAACCAAUCACCAGACCACCGGUCGCCCUUCGCCGUACCCUCUGUAUCGCCGCCGCCGAAAGGACCAGCCACCGCCCUCCUUCAUCUCUCCACUUGUUGCUUCUCUGUUUCUUGCUCAGCCACGUGCAACCACCACCGCGACCACCUGCAGCCACCUGCUGCGUCGCCUAGCUCCGCGACCGCCCAGCUCUCUCCGCCGCUCAACUCCCUCGCUGCCGCCGCCCCUGCCGCCGGCCAGCUCUCUCUCUCUUCUCUUUUGGAGGAGAAUUCUCUUUAGGCGACUUUUGAAUUCGUUAAAGUGGCCUAUCAGUUUGUUUACACAAGUCUCUAAGGAUCAAUAAGCAUUGUCCAUCUGCAGGUUUGAAGAUGUUGCAUCAUUGGGAUCGGGAAUAGAGAGCUUGUAUUUAGUUUUGAUUUGCUAAGUUGACUUGGGUUUGUUUAAAUGGACUUUAAACUUGUCAUACUAUUUAUAUUUCCUUAUUUUCGUUGGUUGAUUUUGAGACUAAACCUGUAAUCGAUUAUUUAUAAACCUAAAGUUAGUUUUAUGUUUUCCGCUGCAAAAUUCUGAAUAAGCCG